AUCGGGGGGGACGGGAGCGCAGAGCAGAGGGCAGCGCUUCAGGUGGGGAGCAGCAAGCAGAGCAGGCGGGAGCGCUCAGCAGAUCAGGCCGGGAGGACUGCAGAUCAUCUCUCCAAUUUGAGAUCAUUUUGAAUUUUAAUUCCAUCCUCCAAAGUAUUUGCAACCUGUCUCCAUGCCCUCUCCCCCAUCUUGUCAUCUGCAAAUUCCAUCAUUUGAAUAAUUAAUGAAAAUAUUGACUAGAGCUAGGCCUGGAACAGAUCCCUGAAGAUGACAGUGAGACAUCAAUAAUGGCUCAGCGAUUUUGCAGCCAGUUUUGCACCCAAGUAAUACGGCAAGGGAGAGAGGGUAUGAGAGAGAGAAAAAAACUGAUGAAGAAAACAAACCCUACUAAAGUAAUUACAUUAAAUGACACUGGCUGAAUAUGACUGACUUGGGUGGUUUCCUUUCUUGCUGCCUUCAGUCCACACCCAACUGUCCCUACUGAAAGACAGGUAGAAAACAGGAACAAGACAGACCAUGCAAUCUGGGGCCAAACUACAAGUAAAACUCAGGUCUCUCUACUCUCAACUCGGUGCCUGUUCACAGGGAUCGUCCACCUUCCACUUGCAAUUGACACAAUUCACAAGGGAUUAAGAGGGGAACCAUGGUCACAAGGUGGAAUGUGAAGUCUCACAUACCCCUUGGAAUUCAACCCCUGUAUUGGUUGCUUUUAAGCAAGAACAUUUUCAAAAUAUAUCGCUUGCUAACACGAUUGGAACUGCAGCACAGAGAGAAUCUAGAGGAGGUUUGGUUUUGGUUUUUUUUUUUGUUUUUUUUUUAUAGCUCAUGGGAUUCUAAGAUGAGGAGAAAUGCCUUGCAGACACCGACACUAAAAAUAGCUAUGUGAAACCUGUUUCCCUGAAUAUUAUUCAAUUCCAUUUUCAUACCUGCUUUAGCAGGUACCAGCAGAGGAGCUGGAAUAAAGAAACACCCUAGAUCACCUCUGGAGAAGUUUGCAGAGGGACAAAGUACAAGAAAGCCUGCACUGAGAAACUUGUUCUCCCUUCUAAAGGGUCCGGCUUGGGCUACAUGUCCUGCAUACAAUGAAAACUCAGGAUGUGCUGUGAAAGAGACUGGACAAAUAGAAGGGAAAGAAUGAAAAGAGCCGAGCUGCUACCAAAAGAUGGAGGAGAGGAAGCAGCAGAGAACUUGGUAUGUCUCAGCACAGAGACCUCAACUUGUUGGAACCAAAACCUUUCUGCAGCCGUGCACCUUUGGAGGAGAGCGGGGCUGGGGAAAGCGCCUCGGUGCCCGGAGGAGCAAAGCUGGUCAGGGUCCCCCCCAGACCUGUCUGGGACGUGGGCUUAAAGCUCCGCUUUGAUCCCUCCCGCAGCAGGCCAGAGACGUGAGGGCCCAGGGCAGGGCGGGCUGCCUCCCUCGCUCUGCACGAGCCCCAGGGACGGCGGCGAGCGCAGCCCGCUCCUGCGGGAGGGGAAACGUCCGCAGCCCGCUCCAGAAGAGCCUUUAGGGCCAGCCUCCGGGGACAGGGACGGGCAGCAACCCCUGUGCCCCCAACCCCCCGGAGCCUCUGGUCCGGCCGCAGCCCCUGCCCCUGCCCAGCGGGGCGCUCACCUGCUCG